UACGUAGGUGGCAAGCGUUGUCCGGAUUUACUGGGCGUAAAGAGCGCGCAGGCGGUCGAUCAAGUCGCGUGUGAAAGCCCCCGGCUCAACCGGGGAGGGUCGGCGGGGACGGGGCGGCUUGAGGACGGCAGGGGCCGGUGGAAUCCCCGGUGUAGUGGUGAAAUGCGUAGAGAUCGGGGGGAACACCCGUGGCGAAGGCGGCCGGCUGGGCCGUUCCUGACGCUGAGGCGCGAAGGCGUGGGGAGCGAACGGG
rnacentral:rRNA from 1 species